ensembl:lncRNA
UGGCUGCUCUGGUGUAUGUUAAAUGAAUGUUCUUGUACCAAGACAGCAGUUUUAUCCAUAUUAGAACUGUUGGUUCAAAAUUCUUGAAGUGUGAAAGCCUCUGAAGCAUUCUCUGAAAACCCAGUCUUAGAAAAUGAAUUCUGUAGAUGGAAGGAUGGUAUUAAAGAGGCCUGAGAAACCUAUGCUACUGGAGCUGAUUGAGAGGAAACUUGAAACUAGUUGCUUACUGAGUAGUUUGCUUAGUAGGCCAUAGGCCUGUUUCUUUCAAGAGGAGAGAAGUAGAAAUGAAAUGGCACAAGUGUUAUUUCAAGGAUGGAGGAAGGAGCAGAUUUUCUGUUUCUGUUUUGCACACGUCUUGUGGAUAAGGCGUAGUAAGGCCUGUGAAGCCUUCUUAUCUGAAGGGCAGUACUGAUCUUUUGAAAGUUAGCGAAUCCACCAGCUGUUUGCGAGAUAAAGCAAGAAAUUUUACUGAGAACAGAGGUUUUGACUGCUUUACAAAGAAGUUACGCAAGGCAGUAAAACCUUGGAUUCAUACACCAAAUCCUCUUGCCUUCCAGGCCUCACACCUCUGUCAAUUGAACAUACGAGCCUGUGAAGUUGUAUCGUCUUUGAGUUGUCUGAAACAAUUCUUAACUGCUGUACAGAUUUCUGAGAUGAAGUUGUAAAUCAAAAUAUGUUAUAGUGAACUCAGGCUUUGUGCAAAAUAUUUAAUAUUUGUUUAUUUGUCUAAUCGUACAGUCUCUGUACUAGUGGCAAUUUUAUGUUUUGAUUGUAAAACAUGAAGAUCCUCAUUUAUAAAGUAGUGUUACUGUAGUGUCAGCUGUGAUUCAUGAUUAGAACUGUCAUAGCAUGGCAUCGGUGUAUCUCCAAUUUAAUGGACAGCUCUUCAAAAACAAAUUUAUUCUUGUAUCAACUUUUAGAUCAGUUACUUAAAAUAUGUAAAAGGUACAGUGACCGUUUUGAGAAAUUCUUUUCACUUUGUACUGUGAAUGAGGUUGCCUAUGGAAAUAAAUGAACUUUU